CUUGAUUCCAGCAUUUGAAGCCAUAUCAGUCAUCCUUCGCCCACUUGAAAUUCAACUGGAAUUACACCAGGUUGUCCAGGGUUCCAGAGUGGAACCUGAAGUGAGGUUUGAACUUCCCAUGGAUUACUAGAAUCUGUGCAUCCAUGAAAAGACCAUGUGUCCAUGAAAAAUGGUUGAUAUGACAGGGCACUAUUAACAAUUAAGGCUGGUUUCAGUGUUUGUGUUUGCAGCAGGACUAAGAAAAGACACCAAGGACAGGGAGAUAAUGGAUGGUGCUCGAUGGGAUGGUUUAGUUGAGUUAGAUCCAGUGCUGGUCCGUGGCUUUCCCUGCUGGAAUCAGGCAGGUCAUCGUGGAGUGGCCCAAGCUAUGUCCAUAGGUAGUGGGAUACACAUCCCCUUCCAGGGGCAACAGGUUAGACCAGUGCAUUUGUGCCAGUCUUUGCAACAGCUCUGUCUCCUCCUCAGGCUGCAUUUUUCCUUUGCCUUAAGAGGAAAGCAAAGGAUCAGGGAGCCUUAGGGAAUGUGGCAGAGAGCCCUGCUGGAGGCAGGAAUGACACAGGGAGCACCAGGAGGUGCAGCUCCAGAGGGAAGUCUUGGAAAGAAGGCAAUGGAUUUACGGCUCAGUUCGGGUUGGUUGUCCUUUUGCAGAACGUCUCAGGUAGCCCCGGCCCAAGUGGGAGUAAAUAGUCCUGCAGGGAAGGGCUAAGGCACCGUCAGGAUGAACAUGGGAGAUUUCACCACCCUCCUAAAAAUUCUCAUCUUUGUGGCCAGGCAC